CGUCGAGACGUGGGAAAGCGCGCCCCCUAGCGAGAGAUUGGAGAGUUCGCAGGCGCGUAGAACGCUUGCCGGCUCAUAUUUAUUUAGUCCCUCCACCCAUCCGUCUCCGUCUCCAUACAGAAAAAGCACUUUUUCCCUAGAUGACCAGCAACGGGCAGGUUUCUCAACUUAUAUUUUCUUCAAUUCUAAAAUAGAUACCAAUAUUGACCUCUCAUUAAGCGUGUAUCAGUUACUACUUGAAAAGUCUGAAGAAUAGUAAACCCUUAGUUUGGAUUGUUGAAGAUAGUUAUGAAUAAGGCAAGACAGGUUCUCUUGUUUUCUUGAAGACUUGUACCUUAGGGGUAGAGGCAGUGUCCAACUAGCAAUUACACAAACAAGGUAAUUGCUAAUGCCUUGAAAACAAACAAACCAAUCUUGGCAUUAUGAUAAUGAUAGUGAAGGGAGAGUUGCUUUGGAGCAAAGCUCGACUCUGGCUGUCUAGUGCAGAAGAAAGGAUCUAGUUAUGUAGCUAUGCAACUCAGGCUGCCUUUGACCUUGAACUCACUAUAGUCCAGAUUGUCCUUGAACUCAUAGCGGUCGUCUAGCUUCUGUGGACUGAGAGCUACUGGGAUCUCAGCCUCCUGGUUUGCAGAUGGCCAUAGUGGACUACCCAGUCCCUAACAUAAUACAAGAGCCCUCUUUCCUGAUUCCUGUGCUGUUGAAGGACAUGACAUCAGGAAGAGGAGACCCGCUCCCACAUCACCACACAAUCUGGAGACUGCAACUCGCCAUCUUUCACCAGAGAUGUGGCAGACAGAACACCCUGUUGGCGACAGAGUUCAUUCCACCCUUUUGGGAAGCCCCUUAACUGAAUGAGCAGAGCCCACGUGGGAUCGGACACACCAGACUUGUUUCAAACUCAUUAUCUUCACUGAGCCUCGCAAACCUCUCAGGUGGGUGUAAUUAAGCCAGCCAGAGGAAGCUGAGACUAAAAGAAAUUAAUAAGUUACCCAGAAUAAGAAAAUAGUGGGGGAGCGGAAAGAAUCUGAAACAUAGUGAUGGGUGCCGAGCAGGAUGGACCCAGGCCGGCCAGGACCAAAGUCACGGCUUAACCAACAGGAUAAAGGACCUUGCGCUCCAUCCCUGAUCAAAGCGGCAUGUGUGUCUUUCACCGUUUUCACCUAUGUCAGCUUCACCCCCACCCCCAGCCAGCAGAGAGCAGUUUUUGAGGACUGGUGACAUCGCUCAUCCUGUAAAGCUGCUUGCCACCAAGCCUGACAACCUGACUUCCAUCCAGAACCCACAGAGUGGGAAGGAGAAAACUAACUCAGAAUUGUUCGCCCGCCCUCCAACUCCUGGUAGCACACAUGCACGCUGCACACAUAGUGUAUUCUGACCGUAACUUCCAGAUCUGCCUCCCCUUCCUCUCCAGCUGCUCUCCCUUAGCACUGUAAUGGAUUUGUAAAUAAAUGUGCUGCUUCGCAUCUGCUUUGA